ACGAGCGUGCGUGUGCGUGACCGCCUCACGCGGCGGGCUCGGGAGCGCGCCGCAGCCGGGACCGCUCCCGGGCCUCAGAGGAGAUGCGGGUUGGGGUCACGGGGGCGGGAAGGUAACCGCUCCGGAGCUCUUUCGGCGCGUGGGCUCCUGCAGCUCUGUUCGGACCCGCAGAGUAGAACGGGAGGCGGCCAACUCGCUGCUCCGUGGAGCUGACUGCGUUCUGAGGUGAAGAAACUGGGAGUUGGAGAAGCAGACUGUGCAAAUGAAUAGACAUGAGUCAUAUGGACUAGACUGAAGAAAAGCAAGGUGACAGAUGUUCAACAAUUAGUUCUCCAAAAGCCACUGACUUGAGCCCUACAGGAAAAGAUUCAGGGUAUAAUGAAGUCAUGAAGAUCAGCUGGCUUCAACCAUGAGGACAAAGACAGCAGGAUAGAAGAUGUCAGAGUAAUAAAAGGGAAGGAACCUGGGUCCCUGGAUGACCUUGUGGAGGAAAGCCUGACUGUCCACUCCGGAUUGCUAUAUCUGCAGGCACACAAGAAAAUUGUCCAUGUAAAAAAUGACAAGAAACAGCAGUUAUGAAUAUCAACGAUUAGUGACAGAUCUCCUUGGGCACAGUAGGAAAAUCACCUGCACCUGAUGCUGAGCUCUUUAAGGACAAGAUCUAAAGUUGAAGAAUAGAUGAUACGAAUGUGUUGGUUGAUUUCUCUGUCUGGUGAACUCAAAAAUUCUGGGUAAUCAUCAAUCUGAAAAAGAAAGAUUAAUUGAUCUCAUUGAAGACAAAUACAACUGCUUACCUAUUCUGGGAUAAUAAAUCCCUCAAAGCUAAGGAUGUUUAUUCAUACAAAACAAGCCAUGAUUCUCUCAGCAAAACAGCUCCAUCAAGAGUCUCACCAGCCUUUCCCUUGGGGAACAGAGAGACUCAGGCAAGAGAAAGAAAAAAAAAAAAAAGAAAAAGAAACGAGGCUAGACACCUGUCCCCAAUGGAAAAAGGAAGAACACACCUGGAGAGCAGCUCAAACAAAGGGAGCCAAGUCUGGGGGUGUGGGGUGGGGGUGCGGGUGUGGUAAUUGGAGAGGAGACUGUGCUUCCAAUCUGGUGCUGGUUUAUAAGGUACAUCUAUUCCCCGAGGAAAGGGAUACAGUAGCACCAUACUAAAACUGGGAUACAGCUAUGCCAGAUUGUAUCUCCUUCGAGGCUCAACUCUGAUGACACUCCUUCCAGGAAGUUUUCCUAGCAUGCCCUGAGCCCAGUUUGGAUCAAGUGAACUGCCUGAGAUUGCCAAGCAUCCUGUACACAUCUCAUUAACACAUUCAUUCACUCAUUCAUUCAUUCAUUCUUAAUGAGCACCUAACAUGCUCUGAGCACUGGGAACAAAAAAGUGAACAAAGCAUAACAGCACUUAACACAUGGCAUUUAUUUGCAUUGGUGUUAGCUUCUGGUUCCUCCUACAGCCGCUUCCAGAAAGGGACCCUAUUCGUUUUUUGCAUCCUCUGGGUCUCGCACAGCGCCUGGCACAUACUAGAUGCUUAAUA